GCAUUGGUGGCUCAGUGGUAGAAUUCUCACCUUUCAUGUGGGAGGCCCAGGUGUGAUCCCUGGCCAGUGUG
rnacentral:tRNA from 1 species